rnacentral:snoRNA from 1 species
CAGCGGUGAUGAUUCAUUUCUUAGGACACCUUUGGAUGACAAGUGUCAUGUGAAAAGAAUUUUUUACUGAGCUCU